UAAUACGGAGGGUGCGAGCGUUAAUCGGAAUUACUGGGCGUAAAGCGUGCGUAGGUGGCUUAGUAAGUCGGAUGUGAAAGCCCUGGGCUCAACCUGGGAACUGCAUUCGAUACUGCCAGGCUAGAGUAUGGUAGAGGGAAGUGGAAUUUCCGGUGUAGCGGUGAAAUGCGUAGAUAUCGGAAGGAACACCAGUGGCGAGGGCGGCUUCCUGGACCAAUACUGACACUGAGGUACGAAAGCGUGGGGAGCAAACAGGAUUAGAUACCCUGGUAGUCCACGCCCUAAACGAUGUCAACUAGCCGUUGGGGGAAUUUAAUCCUUUAGUGGCGCAGCUAACGCGUUAAGUUGACCGCCUGGGGAGUACGAUCGCAAGAUUA
rnacentral:rRNA from 1 species